GAAUGCUGACAUAAGUAACGAUAAAGCGGGUGAAAAGCCCGCUCGCCGGAAGACCAAGGGUUCCUGUCCAACGUUAAUCGGGGCAGGGUGAGUCGACCCCUAAGGCGAGGCCGAAAGGCGUAGUCGAUGGGAAACGGGUUAAUAUUCCCGUACUUGGUGUUACUGCGAAGGGGGGACGGAGAAGGCUAUGUUGGCCGGGCGACGGUUGUCCCGGUUUAAGCGUGUAGGUGUGUGUUCCAGGUAAAUCCGGUUCACUUUAACACUGAGGCGUGACGACGAGGCACUACGGUGCUGAAGCAACAAAUGCCCUGCUUCCAGGAAAAGCCUCUAAGCAUCAGGUAACAUCAAAUCGUACCCCAAACCGACACAGGUGGUCAGGUAGAGAAUACCAAGGCGCUUGAGAGAACUCGGGUGAAGGAACUAGGCAAAAUGGUGCCGUAACUUCGGGAGAAGGCACGCUGACACGUAGGUGAAGUGAUUUACUCAUGGAGCUGAAGUCAGUCGAAGAUACCAGCUGGCUGCAACUGUUUAUUAAAAACACAGCACUGUGCAAACACGAAAGUGGACGUAUACGGUGUGACGCCUGCCCGGUGCCGGAAGGUUAAUUGAUGGGGUCAGCGCAAGCGAAGCUCCUGAUCGAAGCCCCGGUAAACGGCGGCCGUAACUAUAACGGUCCUAAGGUAGCGAAAUUCCUUGUCGGGUAAGUUCCGACCUGCACGAAUGGCGUAAUGAUGGCCAGGCUGUCUCCACCCGAGACUCAGUGAAAUUGAACUCGCUGUGAAGAUGCAGUGUACCCGCGGCAAGACGGAAAGACCCCGUGAACCUUUACUAUAGCUUGACACUGAACAUUGAGCCUUGAUGUGUAGGAUAGGUGGGAGGCUUUGAAGUGUGGACGCCAGUCUGCAUGGAGCCGACCUUGAAAUACCACCCUUUAAUGUUUGAUGUUCUAACGUGGACCCGUGAUCCGGGUUGCGGACAGUGUCUGGUGGGUAGUUUGACUGGGGCGGUCUCCUCCUAAAGAGUAACGGAGGAGCACGAAGGUUGGCUAAUCCUGGUCGGACAUCAGGAGGUUAGUGCAAUGGCAUAAGCCAGCUUGACUGCGAGCGUGACGGCGCGAGCAGGUGCGAAAGCAGGUCAUAGUGAUCCGGUGGUUCUGAAUGGAAGGGCCAUCGCUCAACGGAUAAAAGGUACUCCGGGGAUAACAGGCUGAUACCGCCCAAGAGUUCAUAUCGACGGCGGUGUUUGGCACCUCGAUGUCGGCUCAUCACAUCCUGGGGCUGAAGUAGGUCCCAAGGGUAUGGCUGUUCGCCAUUUAAAGUGGUACGCGAGCUGGGUUUAGAACGUCGUGAGACAGUUCGGUCCCUAUCUGCCGUGGGCGCUGGAGAACUGAGGGGGGCUGCUCCUAGUACGAGAGGACCGGAGUGGACGCAUCACUGGUGUUCGGG
rnacentral:rRNA from 1 species